UACGUAGGGGGCAAGCGUUGUCCGGAAUCAUUGGGCGUAAAGCGCGUGUAGGCGGCUCGAUAAGUCCGCUCUGAAAGUCCAGGGCUCAACCCUGGGAUGCGGGUGGAUACUGUCGGGCUCGAGUCCGGAAGAGGCGAGUGGAAUCCUGGUGUAGCGGUGAAAUGCGCAGAUAUCAGGAGGAACACCAAUGGCGAAGGCAGCUCGCUGGGACGUGACUGACGCUGAGACGCGAAAGCGUGGGGAGCAAACAGG
rnacentral:rRNA from 1 species